rnacentral:rRNA from 1 species
AUUGAACGCUGGCGGCAGGCUUAACACAUGCAAGUCGAACGAGUGGCGGACGGGUGAGUAAUGCUUGGGAAUCUGGCUUAUGGAGGGGGAUAACGACGGGAAACUGUCGCUAACACCGCGUUCCCUAGGAUGAGCCCAAGUGGGAUUAGGUAGUUGGUGGGGUAAUGGCCUACCACGCCGACGAUCGCUAGCUAGUCUGAGAGGCUGACCGGCCACACCGGGACGUGAACAGGGCCCGGAAUCCUACGGAGGGCAGAGGUGGGAAAUAUUGCGCAAUGGGGGCAACCUGACGCGUCCAUGCCGCUGGAAGAAAGAAGGCCUUCGGGUUGUAAAGUUCGUUCGGUGACGAGGCGUUAAUCACAGAAGAAGCACCGGCUAACUCCGUGCCAGCAGCCGCGGUAAUUC